AACGAACGCUGGCGGCGUGCCUAACACAUGCAAGUCGAGCGAGAAAGUUCCUUCGGGAACGAGUACAGCGGCGCACGGGUGAGUAACACGUAGGUAACCUACCCUCGAGCCCGGAACUAACCCGCCCGAAAGGUAGGGCGUAAUGCCAGAUAGGACCACGGUGGUCACGGCCACCGCGGUGAAAGAUGGCCUCUGUUCACAAGCUAUUACUCGAGGAUGGGCCUGCGCGCCAUUAGCAGUUGGUGAGGUAACGGCUCACCAAGGCGAUGAUGGCUAGCUGGUCUGAGAGGAUGGCCAGCCACACUGGGAC
rnacentral:rRNA from 1 species